CAGGCUUAACACAUGCAAGUCGAGGGGCAUCAGGAAGAAAGCUUGCUUUCUUUGCUGGCGACCGGCGCACGGGUGAGUAACACGUAUCCAACCUGCCCUUUACUCGGGGAUAGCCUUUCGAAAGAAAGAUUAAUACCCGAUAGCAUAAUGAUUCCGCAUGGUUUCAUUAUUAAAGGAUUCCGGUAAAGGAUGGGGAUGCGUUCCAUUAGGUUGUUGGUGAGGUAACGGCUCACCAAGCCUUCGAUGGAUAGGGGUUCUGAGAGGAAGGUCCCCCACAUUGGAACUGAGACACGGUCCAAACUCCUACGGGAGGCAGCAGUGAGGAAUAUUGGUCAAUGGGCGCUAGCCUGAACCAGCCAAGUAGCGUGAAGGAUGAAGGCUCUAUGGGUCGUAAACUUCUUUUAUAUAAGAAUAAAGUGCAGUAUGUAUACUGUUUUGUAUGUAUUAUAUGAAUAAGGAUCGGCUAACUCCGUGCCAGCAGCCGCGGUAAUACGGAGGAUCCGAGCGUUAUCCGGAUUUAUUGGGUUUAAAGGGAGCGUAGGUGGACUGGUAAGUCAGUUGUGAAAGUUUGCGGCUCAACCGUAAAAUUGCAGUUGAUACUGUCAGUCUUGAGUACAGUAGAGGUGGGCGGAAUUCGUGGUGUAGCGGUGAAAUGCUUAGAUAUCACGAAGAACUCCGAUUGCGAAGGCAGCUCACUGGACUGCAACUGACACUGAUGCUCGAAAGUGUGGGUAUCAAACAGGAUUAGAUACCCUGGUAGUCCACACAGUAAACGAUGAAUACUCGCUGUUUGCGAUAUACAGUAAGCGGCCAAGCGAAAGCAUUAAGUAUUCCACCUGGGGAGUACGCCGGCAACGGUGAAACUCAAAGGAAUUGACGGGGGCCCGCUCAAGCGGAGGAACAUGUGGUUUAAUUCGAUGAUACGCGAGGAACCUUACCCGGGCUUAAAUUGCAGUGGAAUGAUGUGGAAACAUGUCAGUGAGCAAUCACCUCUGUGAAGGUGCUGCAUGGUUGUCGUCAGCUCGUGCCGUGAGGUGUUGGCUUAAGUGCCAUAACGAGCGCAACCCUUAUCUUUAGUUACUAACAGGUCAUGCUGAGGACUCUAGAGAGACUGCCGUCGUAAGAUGUGAGGAAGGUGGGGAUGACGUCAAAUCAGCUCGGCCCUUACGUCCGGGGCUACACACGUGUUACAAUGGGGGGUACAGAAGGCAGCUAGCGGGUGACCGUAUGCUAAUCCCAAAAUCCUCUCUCAGUUCGGAUCGAAGUCUGCAACCCGACUUCGUGAAGCUGGAUUCGCUAGUAAUCGCGCAUCAGCCUCGGCGCGGUGAAUACGUUCCCGGGCUUUGUACACUCCGCCCGUCAAGCCAUGGGAGCCGGGGGUACUUGAAGUACGUAACCGCAAGGAUCGUCUUAGGGUAAAACUGGUGA
rnacentral:rRNA from 1 species